rnacentral:rRNA from 1 species
UACGUAGGGGGCAAGCGUUGUCCGGAAUCAUUGGGCGUAAAGCGCGUGUAGGCGGCUCGGUAAGUCUGCUCUGAAAGCCCGGGGCUCAACCCUGGGAGGCGGGUGGAUACUGCUGAGCUCGAGUCCGGAAGAGGCGAGUGGAAUUCCUGGUGUAGCGGUGAAAUGCGCAGAUAUCAGGAGGAACACCAAUGGCGAAGGCAGCUCGCUGGGACGGUACUGACGCUGAGGCGCGAAAGCGUGGGGAGCAAACAGG